GUUAUUUUGGCAGAUUAGUGCGGUAGAUUUAGAGUCUAUUUAUGUAAAUUGUAUACAAAUAAUA
rnacentral:tRNA from 1 species